UCUUUUUAUAUAUUUGCCUUUCCUGUUGUUAUUUCCCCUUUCCUAUAGAUACUUGCUUCUUUUCUAUAUACAGAAGAUCUCUCAAUAUCUCUUUUAGGUUAGGCUUAGCAUUGCUGUACUCUUAGUUUUUGCUUAUGUGAGACAUUCUUUCUCCAUCUAUUCUAAAUGAUACUCUUGCUGGGUGGAGUAUCCCAGGUUGCAGAGUUUUCUCUUUCAGGACUUUGACUAUAUCAUGCCACUUACUUCUGACCUGUACAGCUUUUGCAGAGAAUUAUCAACCUUAUAUGGGGUUUCCUUGCAACUGACUGUUUUUCUCUUCUUGCCUCGAGAAUCCUCUUUAACUUUUGCCAUUUUAACUGUGUCUUGGUUUGGGUCUGCUUAUCUUCUUUGGGACUCUCUAUGCUUCCUAUACCUGGAUAUCUGUUUCCUCUUUUAGAUUCUAGGAAAUUUUCAGCCAUAAUUUCUUUAAAAAAAGUUUUGAUCCCCUUUUCUCUCUAUUCUCCUUCUGGUACCAAAAUUAUGCAUAGGCUGGCAUUCUUUAUGGGGCUUCCCUGGUGGCUAAGACUGUAAAAAAUCUGCCUGCAAUUAAGGAGAUGUGGGUUUGAUCCCUGGGUCGAGAAGAUCCCCUAGAGAAGGGAAUGGCUACCCACUCCAGUAUUCUUGCCUGAAGAAUUCCAUGGACAGAGGAGCCUGGUCACCUACAGUCCAUGUGAUCACAAAGAGUUAGACACAACUGAGCAAGGCAGUCUAUAAUAUCCAACAGCUCUUGUAUAUGGCUUUCAUUCCCCCCCACCCCCCAAUUUGGCUUUCUGUCUGCUGUUCUGAUUGGGUGAUUUCCAUUAUUCUGUCUUCCAGAUCACCUGGGUUCAGUAAGGCUCUGCUGCCCUUAACUAUGUGCUCUGUCUCAGAGGAGUACAACUAAAACCCCUGGUUGUUAUAUACAAAGUAAACACAAGAGGCUCUGAAAGGAGAAGAGGAGGCAGAUGAUGAGGGACUUCAGGAGCAGAAGGGCUGCCCGAUGGUGAGUAGUUCUGUGUGUUUUCUUUUUGCCUCAUCUAUCCCAGCCUUAGAGCUGGAGAAGCCAGAAACCCAGAAGUGCCAAUGAGUGAAGAUAAAAUGCCUGAACACUUCCCAAAUUUGAUCAAAGAUGUGAAGGUAACUAUCAAAGAAUCUCAGUCAACUUCAAGUAAGAUAAAAUGCCCACACUAAGUCACAUAAACUUUGAAAGCAGUAAGACUGAAGCAAACUGUUACCUGCAAGGGAUCCUCAAUAAGAUCAUUGCCAAUUUCUCAGAAACUUUGGAAGCCAGAAGACAAUGCAGAAUUUAAAGGAAAACAAAAACAAAAAAAAAACCCCAGCAGAAUGGUCCUUCAAAAUUUAGGGAGAAAUUAAGACAUUUCCAGAUAAA